UACGUAGGGUCCGAGCGUUGUCCGGAAUUACUGGGCGUAAAGCGCGCGUAGGCGGCUCUUUAAGUCUGGUGUGAAAGGUUCAGGGCUCAACCCGAACAGUGCACUGGAUACUGGAGAGCUUGAGUUAGGGAGAGGAGAGUGGAAUUCCUGGUGUAGCGGUGAAAAUUCGUAGAUAUCGGGAGGAACACCGGUGGCGAAGGCGGCGAUCUGGGUAGAUACUGACGCUGAGGUGCGAAAGCGUGGGGAGCAAACAGG
rnacentral:rRNA from 1 species